ACGACCUUACUUGAACAGGAUCUGUUCUAUAGGCUCGUACCUCUGUUUUCUUGAUUUCUCAAGAGACAGGCCCUUAACCCUGGUUGAUGAACCAUGACCGUGCGGCUAGAGCGUGAUUGACGGCUACGAUCGUCUUCGGACGCAUCCGGUUCUGUAGAGGAUCGUUACUCGGCUCGGCUCGUCCUUGCCGGGGUGGUCGCACGGCGGUCUGACAGGUC
rnacentral:snoRNA from 1 species